AUGAAUGGUUUUUAAACGUUCUGGUUAGACAUAUGGGGGAAGUUCAUCAUGUUUAAUUUUAGAAGUUUUAUCAUAUUUCAGAGAGUUGGUGAAUUCUGGAAAAUAGUUAAUUCCAAAUGUAGGAUCCACAAUUUUGGGUUAAUUGUAUCAAAUUGCUGGGACCUGAUUUUUUAAUUUUUUAGCAACUCAUUUAAAAAAGGUUCUGUAUUGCUUUGAUCCUAUCCAUGCCUAAAACUGAGAAGCUGCAAUGAGACAUUAGAUCAGAAUGACAAAAUUUGUGUCACCAAAAAAAUGAGUGGAUUGUCAAAGACUGUCCCAGUUAAAAUUUAAGCAAACUGCUUGGAUAAGAUGGAAUAUGUCAUUACAUCUUUGUUAAUCACUUGGUAAAAAGGAGAGGUUUGUGGGCUUUUUUUAAAAUACGUAAUUGUGUAAGUGGAUAAGCAAUUGAAGCCUAGAUUUCCAAAUGUCUAGUUUCCUUUAAUUCCUUUCAUUCUUUUUGCUUCGUGAACUACAAUUUUUUUUUCUUAUAUUAGCUCUCCUGUUACUUGAAGUCACACAGCAGUUAGUGCUAGCUUAUGUUUGAAGAAGUGGGUAUAAACAUUCAAACUGAAUUUUUUUUUUGCCUACAGUACUUUUUUUCCGUGAGUUAACCCAAGUUGUAAUGCUUUUAAGUUUCUUAAAAUGUGGGUAUGUUAAAGAAACAUGUGGUAGCAUGGAUGACUCUUCAGCCUUGCUGUACUGUGCCUUAAAGUCAUGUGUUGUGUCUUGGAUUUUCAGGGAUACCAUUAGACUUGCACACUUGAUGGUUUCUGCUUUUCUUCUGUCUUCCUUCGGGUCAUCUAUUUUAUGUAGCAGCUCCUAGUUUUGUAAUGUAUUUAGCCUACCAACAAUCUCGUUUUUCAGGAUUAGAUCACAUAGAUACAUAGUUUCUUUGGGAUGAGGCCUGGAAGAGUUGAGUUUGGGGAAAUGGUGCCUCUUACUCUCCUGUCUUUUUAGGCAUUGUCUGAUGAUCAUGCCAUUAUAUUACUCAACCUGUAGUUGACUUGCUCAGCCUUUCUGUUCAGUUGGUUAUAAAAUUAAAUCACUUUCUUGCAUGAAUCUUAUCUUAGAAAAAAAUUGUAGUUAGAGCAUUUGAUGAUGGUAGAAUUAUUUUGUGCAGCUCUUGCACGUCAGAGAGGCUUUUGUGCUACAGAACUCACUGUCCACACCUCAGUUCAAAUUAUGUGGGUAAAUUUUAGGUAUGUUUGGUUGAGAAAGCAGAAAAUAUUUGUGCAUGCUUGCACAAACCUGAAUAUGUGUUCCUUAUUAUUCAUUACAGUGUAAUACAGACACUCUGCAGUGUCAGUAGAAGACUAACUGCUUGUUUCAAACCUUACUGAACUAUCUAUAUAGGUGUAGGCAACGUUUGACUGCUGUGGGUGUUUCCCACUUGAAGAGAUGUCCCCCAGAUGCCUUUUCAAACAAUCUUUCUAAGCCUAAAGAGAACAUUUAGCAUAUGUGAUGAAUUUUACAUGAAGGAAAAUGGUGUAAAAGUACUUAGAUGUUCUCAGACUGUUCCAGUGCCCUCUCAUUUUCAACUCUGGAACUUAGAAGACAGUGUGCUAUGCUGAGCUUAGACUCUUGUAGGCUGAGGAAGGAUUUUUAGGGAGUAGGGGUGGGCGACAGAUCAGGAUUUGUAUAUAUAAUUUGUAAGACGCUGUUCUUGAAUUUGAAUAGUCAGCUGUAAUGAUACUGCUACUUUCUCUUUCUCCCAGGGAAACUAUGUAAAAACACUGUAGGUUAAAGUUCUUGAUUUAAUAGCAAAUAGAAGGGUUAGAGAAAGUGGUAAUAUUAAUUACAACAUCAUAUAAAAGGUUGUCUGCUUUUUCAAGCCUCAGGAAUACAAACCUUUCAUCAACUUUUCUAAAACUUCAUCUGAUUUAAUAACAAGAUAAGUUACACUCCUUUGAUGAUUUCUGGAAAUGUGUGUAAAUGAAGCACUACAGUUAAGUGACAACAUAAAUUCUUUGAGUUCAGAGUUUGCUUCUCUUAAGACUCAUAAUUCAUCCACAUGGUAUUUUAAGCAUAUGUCAUAUACUUUUAAAAAAAGUACAGUAUUUUUGUUGUUUGUUUUUGUUGAAACCCUGACAGCAGUCCUGUGUAGGCUGGAAUGGGAAUAAUUACUUUGCAUUGCUGAGUGUUCAGCCCAGUUGUUACAGUGCUGCAGAUCCACAGUUAGCUCUCCUGCAUCUGUUUCCACCUCCAACCUCCAUCAGAAGAACCUUCUUCUGUUGCUCUCUGCAAUACACCUCCUCAAGCUCUGUUUGUUCUUGCUUCUUUCUCUUCAUCAGUAAUUGCAUGCACUCCUAAGCUGCUUUAUAGACUAAAUUCCUGAUUAUUUUUUAUUGUUUUAUAGUACAAAUGCAAAGCACAAUAGCAAAAAUAUCCAUUGCCACACUGUUCUUUAAACUGGCUAGAGCUCCAGAAAAUGCUACUUUGGGAGGGACAAAGACUUUUUAUGAGAUCAUCUUCUUAUGAAACCUUUCUGUGUUUUGUGAACUGAUGAUUAGGUUUAAAGAAGUCCCUUGCACUUGAAACAAUUUGAAUUGUGCAUGAAUUGCUCGCCACCCAGCCCCUCCUCCACAUGUCACAAGUGUCUCCUCAUGCUUAGAAAGCUGGUAAAACACAUGUAAAUAGUCCACAGUUUUCAUUUAUCAUGGUUGUCAGCACCAGGAAAAAAAAGUACAAAACUACUUGGCUUCUAAGAUCACACCAUGCAUCAGGACAGUGUUGGAAGGCUCUGGUCCAUGUGCUGCUGAGCAUCCUGGUUGGUGAUGAAUCUUUGCCCAGUGAGUGCGUGGGAACAUUGGGCUUCAUGAAUCUGAAUCUGGUGUGCUAAGGACACUGGCAUCAGUAAUUUCUGCAGAAGUAGGUUUUAAAAAAUGGUCUGUCUUCCCUGUAAAAGAUUGGUAGUAGGCCUUGAUACAAGUUCAGUUUGUGUUUUGUUCUAAUUUUUUCCUGCUUCAGAAAGAGUGAAACAAAAUGUCUUGUUUGGACUCACUAUUUUUUUCAGUAUCAGAGGAAACAUUUGACUGCAUAUAAAUGAAAAAAUUGUCUGAUAUAGUUGACUUAUCUAAAGUUCCUGCUCUGUUUCUCCAUAAGGAAAAAAGAAGAAUUAUAAGCUAAGAUUUUUUUCCCCCCCACAUCAUGUAUAUAUAUAUAUAUAAAAAAAAAGCCAGUAUAGGCUUUUUCUUUCCCAUAAAUUUUAUAAGUUGUGAUUCUGUCAUUUCUGCAGAAUAGCUGCCUUUUAAUCUGAUGUGAAACAUUGUGCUGUUCCUCUUAACACAUAAAACUGGUUGGCAAUUGCUGUGUUGGAUUUGGUGUUGAAUAUUUUGUGUGCAAAGACCAGUCACAUCCUUCAGUCUCCUCCAGUGAAACCACUGCAGGGCAGAGGGUGUCUGUGGCACAGAGCUGUGUUCUGCUGUCUUUGUCAGCAAACAAAAAUAGUUACAGUACCUUAACUUGGGCAUGGUGGCUUGGUUAUUUUUGCUUCUGGGACCAUUUUACUAAUCUAGCUGGUAAUUCAUACAAAAAAAAUCUUACCAUUAAAAAAGCACCUAUUGAAUAAUAUCUCACCAGUGAAUAGAGAUUAUUUUUGCAAUAAGGCAAUUUCAGUGGAUGUGGCUAUCAUGGGAUAAUCACACCCCUGGGGUACAGCCUUGUCUGUAAUCUCCCAGGAGUGUAAUUAUUGCAUGAUAACUGCACCCCCUGGUGUUGCAUUAUUUCUAUUAUGAAAUUCUUAGUUUUAGAUAUAAAGUAACUUACUUUGAUCACUGGAAACUGUAAAGUAGUGUUAGAAUAUUCCAGCUGUGAGGCUUAUAGAGACUAACUUAGAAGAUUUACUUUUCCUUUACGAAGGUAAAUUAGGCAAUCAAAAUGCUUCUUUGGGCUAAACUGAUUUGCAGAGUGUUUUACUGAUAAAAUCCUAACUUUCAAAGUUCAAACAAGAUAAAAAUAUUGGUUGUGCCACUGUGUAUAUAUGCAUGUAGAAAAUACAGAAUGCAUACCAGCAAAAAAAAACCAGCUCACUAGCAUCUCAAAGUUUGCCUAUUUUUACAAUCAUUUUUUUUCAUUAACCAGCAGCAUCUGCUGGGGUUUGUGAGGUUUUGUUGUGAAUCCUGAAAAGCCAUUGACUUGAUUGGAACAGAUAUCAUUAGGUGUCCUGUGCAAAAUGUUUUGGAAUAAUACUGUUAUUUCACUUCAAAAUUGCCUGUGACUUUCUUGGUCAGGUGAAGUUAGGACAAACUGAAUUUUUUUUUUCCUUUCAUUCUUUUCUGCAAACAAUCUGUCCUGUUCAAUGAUGGUUUGGGCAGAUGGGGGAGCGAUUAAAAAGCUAUGAAAGUUUGAAUGCUUACAAUCUCUAUUACAUGUUUUUUAUAACAAACAACCCACUAUGGAUAUGUUCCUUUCUUAUGAAGAAAAGUAUUACUAUCUUAGGAAGUGAGGCUAGUGUCUCAGAUUAUUUGAAUAGCAUAGUUAGAAGUGGGAUGGUAAGGUUAAAAGAUGUUCUUGCACCCUUGGCCUAUGAAAGCUAAGCCUGGAGAGUGCUGGCCAUCCUCCUCUGCUGUGGACUGCUUUGCAUAUCUUACAGCUGACUGGCUCCAUAUGUGAUCCAUGCCAUGGAAUUACUAAGGAAAAAGUACUGUAAAGUGCUUUGAAAAGCAUGUUGUGGAAAAUUCAGGCAAAUAAAGGUAAAAUCUAAUAAAGCAA